rnacentral:rRNA from 1 species
AUUGAACGCUGGCGGAAUGCUUUACACAUGCAAGUCGAACGGUAGAGGGGGCAACCCCUUGAGAGUGGCGAACGGGUGAGUAAUAUAUCGGAACGUGCCCAGUCGUGGGGAUAACGUAGCGAAAGUUACGCUAAUACCGCAUACGAUCUAAGGAUGAAAGCGGGGGACUCGCAAGAGCCUCGCGCGAUUGGAGCGGCCGAUAUCAGAUUAGGUAGUUGGUGGGGUAAAGGCUCACCAAGCCAACGAUCUGUAGCUGGUCUGAGAGGACGACCAGCCACACUGGAACUGAGACACGGUCCAGACUCCUACGGGAGGCAGCAGUGGGGAAUAUUGGACAAUGGGCGAAAGCCUGAUCCAGCAAUGCCGCGUGAGUGAUGAAGGCCUUAGGGUUGUAAAGCUCUUUUACCCGAGAUGAUAAUGACAGUAUCGGGAGAAUAAGCUCCGGCUAACUCCGUGCCAGCAGCCGCGGUAAAGUGACUACUG